AGAUCACCGAAGCAGCAGGAAGUGAGCUGCCCCACUAAAAAUGGCAUAAUGGAUCAGUCAAGGAGUAGAACAAAACAGAGAUGAGUUGGAGGAGAUAUCCAUAUCUCCAUGAUGAAUGUAGGAACCUGUGGAGACUUGGAAUGCCAUACAUCCAUGGAACAGAAAUUACAAGCAGUUGUAAACUACCUAACCCUUAAACCUUUACUAGGGCACAAGAACUGAGACUUUUGCAGCUGAAAUUACAUUGAACAUGGAAGAAGGCAUUUUUCAGCUCCUAUAUUUCAUUGAGC